GUUUAUUAUACCUUUGUUGCUUUGGCGGGCCCGUCCUCGGACCACCGGCUUCGGCUGGUCAGUGCCCGCCAGAGGACCUAAAACUCUGUUUGUUCAUAUUGUCUGAGUACUAUAUAAUAGUUAAAACUUUCAACAACGGAUCUCUUGGUUCUGGCAUCGAUGAAGAACGCAGCGAAAUGCGAUAAGUAAUGUGAAUUGCAGAAUUCAGUGAAUCAUCGAAUCUUUGAACGCACAUUGCGCCCCCUGGUAUUCCGGGGGGCAUGCCUGUUCGAGCGUCAUUACAACCCUCAAGCUCUGCUUGGUAUUGGGCUCUGCCGGUCCCGGCAGGCCUUAAAAUCAGUGGCGGUGCCAUUCGGCUUCAAGCGUAGUAAUUCUUCUCGCUUUGGAGACCCGGGUGCGUGCUUGCCAGCAACCCCCAAUUUUUUCAGGUUGACCUCGGAUCAGGUAGGGAUACCCGCUGAACUUAAGCAUAUCAA
rnacentral:rRNA from 1 species